UCUUUGGUAGUCCAAGCAUUUCACUGAAGACUGCUUCCACCAAAGCAUUAAGGAGAAGCAUUACUGUGAAUCAAGGAAUGAAAAAAGGAACCUACACACAGCUGAGAUAAAAAUUAUUCAUCUGGCAACAAUGAUGUGGUGGAGUCGGAUUCUGCUCUUUCUGAUGUGUCAGAGUUGUUUCAUCAACUGUCAGCUCUAUGAGUAUCUCUACAUUAAUGAGGAAAAGAACUGGACUGAAGCUCAGCAGUACUGCAGAGAGAAACACACUGACCUGGCCACAGUGUCUAACAUGACAGACAUGAAAAGACUCCUCAGUAUCAGAGCAGGAGAUAAGAGGGAUGCUUGGAUUGGUCUGUAUGAUCAGACAGAUGGUAUCAGAACAUGGUACUGGUCUCUGCCUGGAGUGGAGUUCAAUGAAAGGGAGACAAACUGGAGCCCACAACAACCAAAUGAUUUGGCAGGGCCUCAGAACUGUGGGGGUCUGUAUUUGAGUCUUGGAUGGCUAGAUGUUGGUUGCGGAAUUGAAAGACGUUACCUCUGUU